UGCUGGAUCUGAUGGUAUACUAGCCGAUCGGGAAGCGCGUCUGACUGUAAUUUCUUCAAGCGGAACAGAGGUACUGAACUGAUGUUUCAUGGAUGAAGCUGGGCUGCUCAUGGCUGUAUGAUUUUGUAUCAAAUGAGGUUUUGUGAAAGGUUGGAACACGGCACUGGCGGUAUACUUUUAAAGAAUGAUCGCGAUCACAAGGCUUGAAGAUGGAAAAUCAAAGUAGGAAGUGGAUCUAGAAUAGGAU